rnacentral:lncRNA from 1 species
UUUUUUUUCUUGGAAAAACUUUAAAUACUAUUCCUGUGAUUUCGCACUUUCUCACUUUCGUAUUUGAUGGUUUAAAAUAUAUCACUUUAUGGUUUAAAAUAUAUCACUUUCGUACUCUGUGGUUUCAUUUUUCUCUUUUUAUUAUUUCAUUCACUAAGUUUUUUCGUUAAAUCAGUGAUAAAGUUAAAACUAAAUGGUAAGAAAGUGAAUAUUUGAUAAACUAUAUGUGAAAUAUCUGAAAUUUUUUGGUAUAUAAUUUAACGAAAAGUUAACAAAAGAACUGACGCAAAGAGAAAAAUGGAGCUACAGGGUACUAAAUUAAUACACUUUAAACCACAUAAUACUAAAGUGAGAACUUGUGAAAUCACAGGGGUGAUAUUUGAAGUUUUUUUUUUCUUCCAAUAAAUCGAAUAAAAUACUAUAAAAUAACUUAUUCUGCAUUCAAAUAGGACUUUA